rnacentral:rRNA from 1 species
CACGUAGGGGACGAGCGUUGUCCGGAUUCAUUGGGCGUAAAGCGCGCGUAGGCGGCUCGGAAAGUCGGGCGUGAAAUGCCGGGGCUCAACCUCGGAACUGCCUUUGAUACUGCAAAUCUCGAGUCCGGAAGAGGUGAGUGGAAUUCCUAGUGUAGAGGUGAAAUUCGUAGAUAUUAGGAAGAACACCAGUGGCGAAGGCGGCUCACUGGUCCGGUACUGACGCUGAGGUGCGAAAGCGUGGGGAGCAAACAGG